AGCCGAGUUGUUAAGGCGAUGGAUUGCUAAUGACAAUCACACUGCAACUAUUCAUUGCAUUUAGUGCGCGUAGGUUCGAAUCCUCUCAUUG
rnacentral:tRNA from 14 species